UACGUAGGGUGCAAGCGUUGUCCGGAAUUAUUGGGCGUAAAGAGCUCGUAGGCGGUCUGUCGCGUCUGCUGUGAAAACUCGGGGCUUAACCCCGGGCCUGCAGUGGGUACGGGCAGACUAGAGUGUGGUAGGGGAGACUGGAAGUUCCUGGUGUAGCGGUGGGAAUGCGCAGAUAUCAGGAGGAACACCGAUGGCGAAGGCG
rnacentral:rRNA from 1 species